rnacentral:rRNA from 1 species
AACGAACGCUGGCGGCAGGCUUAACACAUGCAAGUCGAACGCCCCGGUAACGGGGAGUGGCAGACGGGUGAGUAACACGUGGGAACAUACCCUUUGGUGCGGAACAACAGCUGGAAACGGCUGCUAAUACCGCAUGCGCCCUACGGGGGAAAGAUUUAUCGCCGAAGGAUUGGCCCGCGUCUGAUUAGCUAGUUGGUGAGGUAAUGGCUCACCAAGGCGACGAUCAGUAGCUGGUCUGAGAGGAUGAUCAGCCACACUGGGACUGAGACACGGCCCAGACUCCUACGGGAGGCAGCAGUGGGGAAUAUUGGACAAUGGGCGCAAGCCUGAUCCAGCCAUGCCGCGUGAGUGAUGAAGGCCCUAGGGUUGUAAAGCUCUUUCAGCGAGGAGGAUAAUGACGUUACUCGCAGAAGAAGCCCCGGCUAACUUCGUG